GAUGAACGCUGACAGAAUGCUUAACACAUGCAAGUCGAUUCAAGUUACCUUCGGGUAAUGAGGAUGGCGGACGGGUGAGUAACGCGUAAGGAACUUGCCUCUUGGUCUGGGACAACUGUUGGAAACGACAGCUAAUACCGGAUAUUAUGAGAUUCUCGCAUGGGAAACUUAUGAAAGCUAUAUGCGCCAAGAGAGAGCCUUGCGUUCCAUUAGCUAGUUGGUGGGGUAACGGCCCACCAAGGCGACGAUGGAUAGCCGGCCUGAGAGGGUGAACGGCCACAAGGGGACUGAGACACGGCCCUUACUCCUACGGGAGGCAGCAGUGGGGAAUAUUGGACAAUGGGCCACAAGCCUGAUCCAGCAAUUCUGUGUGCACGAUGAAGGUCUUCGGAUUGUAAAGUGCUUUCAGUUGGGAAGAAGAAAGUGACGGUACCAACAGAAGAAGCGACGACUAAAUACGUGCCAGCAGCCGCGGUAAUACGUAUGUCGCAAGCGUUAUCCGGAUUUAUUGNGCGUAAAGCGCGUCUAGGCGGAAAAAUAAGUCUGAUGUUAAAAUGCGGGGCUCAACUCCGUAUUGCGUUGGAAACUGUUUUUCUAGAGUACUGGAGAGGUGGGCGGAACUACAAGUGUAGAGGUGAAAUUCGUAGAUAUUUGUAGGAAUGCCGAUGGAGAAGUCAGCUCACUGGACAGAUACUGACGCUGAAGCGCGAAAGCGUGGGGAGCAAACAGGAUUAGAUACCCUGGNAGUCCACGCCGUAAAC
rnacentral:rRNA from 1 species